GACGUAGGGCGCAAGCGUUGUUCGGAAUUACUGGGCGUAAAGGGUUUGUAGGUGGCCCGCUAAGUCACACGUGAAAUCCCUCAGCUUAACUGGGGAACUGCGUGUGAGACUGGCAGGCUCGAGGGCAGGAGAGGAACGCGGAAUUCCAGGUGUAGCGGUGAAAUGCGUAGAUAUCUGGAGGAACACCGGUGGCGAAGGCGGCGUUCUGGACUGUCUCUGACACUGAAGAACGAAAGCCAGGGGAGCAAACGGG
rnacentral:rRNA from 1 species